rnacentral:rRNA from 1 species
UACGUAGGGUCCGAGUGUCGUCCGGAAUUAUUGGGCGUAAAGGGCUCGUAGGCGGUUCGUCACGUCGGGAGUGAAAACUCGGAGCUCAACUCCGAGCCGGCUUCCGAUACGGGCAGACUAGAGGUAGGCAGGGGAGAGUGGAACUCCUGGUGUAGCGGUGGAAUGCGCAGAUAUCAGGAAGAACACCAGUGGCGAAGGCGGCUCUCUGGGCCUUACCUGACGCUGAGGAGCGAAAGCGUGGGGAGCAAACAGG